rnacentral:rRNA from 1 species
AGCGAACGCUGGCGGCAGGCUUAACACAUGCAAGUCGAGCGGGCACCUUCGGGUGUCAGCGGCAGACGGGUGAGUAACACGUGGGAACGUGCCCUUUGGUUCGGGACAACUCCGGGAAACUGGAGCUAAUACCGGAUAAGCCCUUCGGGGAAGGAUUAUUGCCAAGGAUCGGCCCGCGUCUGAUUAGCUAGUUGGUGAGGUAAUGGCUCACCAAGGCGACGAUCAGUAGCUGGCUGAGAGGAUGAUCAGCCACCACUGGGACUGAGACACGGCCCAGACUCCUACGGGAGGC